rnacentral:rRNA from 1 species
CCUACGGGAGGCAGCAGUGGGGAAUUUUGGACAAUGGGCGAAAGCCUGAUCCAGCAAUGCCGCGUGAGUGAAGAAGGCCUUCGGGUUGUAAAGCUCUUUUGUCAGGGAAGAAACGGUGUGGGCUAACUAUCCUGCACUAAUGACGGUACCUGAAGAAUAAGCACCGGCUAACUACGUGCCAGCAGCCGCGGUAAUACGUAGGGUGCAAGCGUUAAUCGGAAUUACUGGGCGUAAAGCGUGCGCAGGCGGUUUUGUAAGUCUGUCGUGAAAUCCCCGGGCUCAACCUGGGAAUUGCGAUGGAGACUGCAAGGCUAGAAUCUGGCAGAGGGGGGUAGAAUUCCACGUGUAGCAGUGAAAUGCGUAGAGAUGUGGAGGAACACCGAUGGCGAAGGCAGCCCCCUGGGUCAAGAUUGACGCUCAUACACGAAAGCGUGGGGAGCAAACAGGAUUAGAUACCCUGGUAGUCCACGCCCUAAACGAUGUCUACUAGUUGUCGGGUUUUAAUUAACUUGGUAACGCAGCUAACGCGUGAAGUAGACCGCCUGGGGAGUACGGUCGCAAGGNUUAAAACUUNAAAGGAAUUGACGGCNGAGAGNGCGAGACGACACGAGGAGGAGG